AUGGCAGUACUUGUCUUCUGGCGAGAUGAGGGCGAAGAAGGAGAUGCAUGGCAGUUUAUCAUGACAGGAAUGGUUACAGAAUUGGACAAGCCAGGAGCAGAAACCGCAGACAACUCCACAAAAAAGAGAAGGACAUGCCGUGUAGCUGACGAUCAAGGUUCCCCUGUACCAGAGUUGCAUAGGAAAAAGGCCAGUAAAAAUGCUGCGGAAACAAUGUCGUCUGCAAGUGAAUUAAGCAAGGAACCUGUAGGGAAACAAUCAAUGACAGAAGAAAGACCAGAACCAACAGGUGAUAGUUAUGAGGAACUAUCUUCAGAUAGUAUUGAAAAGAAUACAGAUGGAGUAUUAGCAGAUGAAGCAGAUAAAGAAACCAACUCAGUCGACCAUUCACUGCAGCAAGCCGAAGAACAGAACCAACUACACGAUAAUGUGGAAAACAUUGAAAUGGUAAACAGGAACCCCAGUGAAAGUGAUUCAGACAGCAGCUCAGGGAGCGACUCAGACAGUGAACUAGGGAAAUACUUUUAUCCUAAAUUUGAGGAAUUGGAGGCUGCAAGAAAACCAGAACCUGGAAUGAAGUUUCAAACCCUCGAAGAUGCAAACGGAUUCUAUAGUACUUAUGCUCUCCUGACUGGUUUUGUGGCAAAGCGAAAUUCUAAUUACAGGAGAAAGAAGUAUCACAUAGAGUGCAACAGGAGUGGCAAACCAACACCAGCUCGGAACCCAAACAGGAAGAGGAAAAUAAAUUCCUUUGAGAGGACAAAUUGCCAAGCAAAGGUGAUAGUGAAGCUCACUAAGGGACAAUGGGAAUUCGCAACUGUUCGGAAUGAGCACAACCAUCCGCUAUGUCCAAACCCUUCCCUCGCAAGAUUUUUCCUGAGCCAGAAACACAUGUCAAGUGAGGAAAAGUCGUUUCUAAAAGUUCUGCAGCAAUGUAAGAUACCUCCCAGUAAAAUUCUGAGGAUUUUUAGGAGAAUGAGAAGUAGUUUUGGAAAUAUAUCAUUCAAAAAACAAGGUCCAGUCAGUUCUGCGAGAAGCAGUUCUGAAAACAUACCGUCCAAGAAAAAAGAUCCAGUCAGUUUACAGUGUACAGAACAACGGAAAACAGAAAACUCAGAUGUUGAAAGUGCAUUGAAGCACUUCAAAGAAUUGGAGCUGCGGAACCCAAGUUUUUUCUACAUCAAGCAAACAGAUGAAGACAACGUAGUCCGCAGUAUUUUCUGGACUGAUGCGAGGUCAAGGAUGGAUUAUGAUAUUUUUGGAGAUUUCAUCUCGGUUGAUACAACUUACACCACAAAUAGGCAUAAUUUGCCUGUUGCUACCAUUAUUGGGAUAAAUAAUCAUGGGAGAACUCUCUUGUUAGGAUGCGCCCUGCUACGCGAUGGGAGAGCUGAAACCUUCAAAUGGAUGUUCCAAACACUUUUGCAAGUGAUGGGAGGAAAAAUACCAGGAUCAAUCAUUACAAACCAGGAUGAACCCCUAGGAAGAGCAAUUGCAGAGGUCCUGCCACAGGUAAGACUCAGGUUUUGGAAAUGUGAUGUAAUGGGUAAAGCACAUGAAAGGAUAGCAGCCUUCAUGGCAGCAAGAGGCAACAUAAAACUAGAGCUGGAUAGCUUAGUUGACAACUCGUUGACGGAAAUGGAAUUUGAAGAAGGAUGGAGUUCACUUAUUGAGAGAUACGAUGCAAGUAAAAAUGAGUACCUGCAAUUCAUGUGGCGGAUAAGGAAAAUCUGGGCGCCUGUUUAUUUCAGACAAGAUUUCUAUCCAUUUGCCGAAUCACUUGGACGUGGUGAAGGUAUGAACAUCGUAUUAUUCAGAAACUAUGUGCUUCCAAAGGACAGAAUUGAGAAGUUCAUCGAAAGAUACGAGGAGAUACAGAAGACUACACUAAAAACGGAUGACGAAGAUAGACGGCAAGCAAGAACUGUACCUUCAUGCUUCUCAUUGCAGCCAAUAGAAAAGCAUGCAUCUACUAUUUACACGAGGCAGAUAUUCCUGAAAGUGCAGAGAGAACUACUCCAUUCUACGGCGUUCGACGUGCAGGUGGUAAAGAAAGGGUCUGUGUACCGACUGGAGAGGGCUUUCAACUACGAGAACCCAGAGUUUGAUAGAAAUGCCUUCGAAGUGUUUGUUGAUCCUGUCAGCAACACAUUCAUAUGCCAAUGCGCAAAGUUUGCCAGAGAUAGAUUACUGUGCUGCCACAUAUUCAGGCUUUUCACGCAGCUUGGAAUCAACGAAAUCCCCGCGCAAUACAUCGUCCCCAGAUGGACCGACAAAUUCAAGGAAGAGAAGGCGAAGCAGUACACGGAGAAAUGCCUAGAGAAGGCAGACAGCACAGCGAGAUAUGAAAUGUUGAUGAGCAAAAUGGCCGACCUCAGCAAGAAGAUAUGCAGCGAUGGCGCGAAAUGCAACACAUUCAUGCUCGAGUUCGACAGUAUUCAAGAGAAACUGCUAGCAACAGAAGGAGAAAAUCCUCGCAACAGUGACAACUGUAUGGAGAUUAUUACUACCAGCUAG
rnacentral:rRNA from 1 species